GUUCCGUAGGUGAACCUGCGGAAAGGAUCAUUACCACACCUAAAAAACUUUCCACGUGAACCGUAUUACCAAAGUUAGUUGGGGACUCCCUGUUGUUGGUCGAUGUAGCAAUAUGUUGACCGGCGGCGGGUUGAGACCUAUCAAACGACGGCGACGAAUGUGCGGGCUGAAAAGUCGGCACGUUUGUUUCUGAAGUUUCUCUUUUAAACUCCUUCUUAUUUAACUGAACAUACUGUGGGGACGAAAGUCUCUGCUUUUAACUAGAUAGCAACUUUCAGCAGUGGAUGUCUAGGCUCGCACAUCGAUGAAGAACGCUGCGAACUGCGAUACGUAAUGCGAAUUGCAGGAUUCAGUGAGUCAUCGAAAUUUUGAACGCAUAUUGCACUUCCGGGUUAUGCCUGGGAGUAUGCCUGUAUCAGUGUCCGUACAUCAACCUUGGCUUCCUUCCUUCCGUGUAGUCGGUGGAUGGGAACGCCAGACGUGAAGUGUCUUGUUGUUGCUUUGUUUUUCACAUGGCGGCGGCGAGUCCUUUGAAAUGUAGAUACUGUUCUUCUCUUUGCUCGAAAAGUGUAUGGGAUGUGGUUGUGGAGGCUGCCAUGGUGGCAUGUCGGCGACCGAUUUCGUGCUGAGGCGUUACUGGAGAGGAGUUCGAUUCGCGGUAGUGUUGGCUUCGGCUGAACAAUCUGCUUAUUGGGCUGUUUUUCGUGUCUUGGCUUAUGCGAUUUUGGUGUACCGUAGCUGUGUGUGGCUUGGCUUUUGAACCGUGUUUUGUGUGCGAAGUAGAGUGGUUGGUGCGUUUCGCUUCGGCGUCGCGCGUUGACCGAGAGGACGAGACCUUUUGGGACAAAUUGUGUGUGCGUCUUCGGGCGUGUGCAUCUCAAUUGGACCUGAUAUCAGGCAAGAUUACCCGCUGAACUUAAGCAUAUC
rnacentral:rRNA from 1 species